UACGUAGGGGGCAAGCGUUGUCCGGAAUUACUGGGCGUAAAGCGCGUGUAGGCGGUCCGGUAAGUCCGCUGUGAAAGUCAAAGGCUCAACCUUUGAAUGUCAGUGGAUACUGCCGGGCUAGAGUCCGGAAGAGGCGAGUGGAACUCCUGGUGUAGCGGUGGAAUGCGCAGAUAUCAGGAAGAACACCGACGGCGAAGGCAGCUCGCUGGGACGGUACUGACGCUGAGGCGCGAAAGCGUGGGGAGCGAACAGG
rnacentral:rRNA from 1 species